AAGGAGCAUUCUCCAAUCCAAUAUCCACACAGGUGGAUGGUUGGUUGGCAGAGCCUGUUUCGGACCCACUUGUGGUCCGGCAGGAGCUCAUGGGUGGACGCUGACAAACUUGAUCGUCGUACGGUUUUUCCUCUGUGGGAGGCCGACGAACAAUAUAUCGACAUACUGUUGGGUCCUGAGAGAACACGCGAGUGUUUCCUCUCUAGGAAGUAACGACAAAUGACUGCUGCAGGCAUACCGCAAGGAUUAUUCGUGAGAAUGUUUUUGUUGGUGUUUGCGUGAGGUGGUUGUUUGUGUGUUGUUUGAGAACUGCACAGUGGACGCGAGCAUCUUUGUUGUAA
rnacentral:misc_RNA from 1 species